rnacentral:rRNA from 1 species
GUGAGGAAUAUUGCGCAAUGGAGGCAACUCUGACGCAGCCAUGCCGCGUGCAGGAAGAAGGCGCUACGCGUUGUAAACUGCUUUUAACCGGGAAGAAACCCCAGGACGUGUCCUGGGUUGACGGUACCGGAGGAAUAAGCACCGGCUAACUUCGUGCCAGCAGCCGCGGUAAUACGAAGGGUGCAAGCGUUAUCCGGACUCAUUGGGUUUAAAGGGUGCGUAGGCGGAGCGUUAAGUCAGUGGUGAAAUCCUGCAGCUUAACUGUAGACUUGCCAUUGAUACUGGCGCUCUUGAGUGCGCUUGAAGUGGGCGGAAUGUGCCGUGUAGCGGUGAAAUGCUUAGAUAUGGCACAGAACACCAAUUGCGAAGGCAGCUCACUAAGGCGAUACUGACGCUGAGGCACGAAAGCGUGGGGAUCGAACAGGAUUAGAAACCCCUGUAGUCC